rnacentral:rRNA from 1 species
UGGGGAAUUUUGCACAAUGGGGGAAACCCUGAUGCAGCGACGCCGCGUGAUUUAGAAGGCCUUCGGGUUGUAAAAAUCUUUUCUAUGGGAAGAAAAUGACAGUACCAUAGGAAUAAGGACUGGCUAAUUACGUGCCAGCAGCCGCGGUAAUACGUAAGGUCCGAGCGUUGUCCGGAAUCAUUGGGCGUAAAGGGUACGUAGGCGGGUAAGCAAGUUAGAAGUGAAAUCCUGUAGCUCAACUACAGUAAGCUUUUAAAACUGCUCAUCUUGAGGUAUGGAAGGGAAAGGGGAAUUCCUAGUGUAGCGGUGAAAUGCGCAGAUAUUAGGAGGAAUACCGGUGGCGAAGGCGACUUUCUGGACAUAUACUGACGCUGAGGUACGAAAGCGUGGGUAGCAAACAGG